UAAGUGGGGAAGGAGUAUACUUUUUGAAUUAUUUGAACAAAGAAAUAAGAGGUUUCAUUAUUUGAUUUUGAAGAGUUUAAAUUUAUGGUUGAAGAAUGUGUUUCACACCUUAGAACUUCAAAUGACUAUAAUGCCCUUAUAUCGAUGUUAGUAUAAAUAUUACCUACCAUUAAGCAAAGAAAACAUCAGUUGUUCAAUUUGUUAUCUUUGAGCUAAAUUAAUUAAGUUAAGAUGGUUUUCCUUAAGCAAGUUUUUUUCUUCAUUGCUCUCUUUGUUGUAAUCUCAGUUAAUAUCUCUUGGGGUCCUAAAGUGAUGGCUUUAAGAGACUUACCAAUUGAUGUUGCAGAGAUGAAGGGAAAAUUACUUCUUCCAUUUGGUAAUGGUAUUACUUGUUCUCGAAGAUGCAAUUCAGAUAGCGAUUGCAAUGAUGGAAUUUUCUGUAAAACUUGUUCUCGUAAAGGUUAUGUUCUUCCGCCUAAUUACAAGGAAUGUUCCGUGUUUUGACAUUCAAAAUUAUUACUAAUGAAGGUUAUUUUGGAACUUUCUUUCGAACAAGUUAAAUAAUAUUGUGCUUCUAAGCAAGUUAAAAAGUAAGUGUGUUGUUAUGAGUGAAAUAUCCUUAGAACGUGCAGAUUAUAUUUAUUGCAUGAAAAGGAUGGAUGUAACUACUAUUAUAUGCUUGAUAUGCCUUUGUGUAUAUUCAAGCAUUUUAAAUAAUGUUGUGUUUUCAAGUUUGUAUAAUCAGAAGAUAAAUACGUAACCUAGCUAGUUUUCCAAAUAUUGGGGAACUAACUAUUGUAAUAUAUGGGUUACAACUUAAAUAAAUAUAUAUUGUUAACUUGUGUU